GGCAGAUGGGUCACAUUUUCCAGCAUUUCUCUGCAGCCACAAGGGCCAGAUUCCCAGAUCACAUGUAAGGAUGUGUUUCAGAUCCAAGAUGAGGAAAGAUGCCUAGCGCCCGCAGGCAAGAUGACACUGAAAUGAAGAAGAGUAUAGCUCGAAGACCAACCCGCCAACACAAUAUUUCCUGUUUUGGAUUAACUGGCUCCAUUUGGCUGGGUCUAGAACGGCAGAAGAACAAAAGAAGUCUGACUGUGGUUCCUGUGGGCCUUUUGGGGGUGGGGUGGGGUGACAAUGGAAAGGAACAAAUUAAAAGGAGAGAGGGGAUGACAAAGCAAUCUCAGAAAACAAAGUUGUGUAGCUUUCACACCGGAGUUUUAUGGUAAGGUUCUUGGGCUUUUAGACCAAGAGGAAGAAAAGUGACUCCUUCUCUUGAGUUACUCAUUGUUAAUCUCUACUAAUUUGCUCUGAGGUGUGUAAAAAGAACAGAAGGUGGUGGCCUGAAAGGCUUGCCAGAAGCUUGCCAUCUAAAGCCACGAUCAGGCAAGCUGCUCCACCUGGGUAAACCCUCUUGCCAUCGAGAGCGCUCUGUGAGGGUGCCGGGCUCUCCAAGAACAGAGCAGCUUGCAGAUUCAGGACCUAAACUGCUGUUGGUGUGGAGUGCAUGACACAGAAAAUGAAGUUCUGCCCCAAGGAGUUCACAGUCUAAAUAACUCCAUUGCUGAUAGUAGUGAAGCCUAUAGAAACUGCAGAGAAUUGAGACACAAAUGAACCUACCUCAGAUUACCUCUUCCCCUCUUAUGACCCUCUCCCGCAACACAAACACACCCCUGAACUAAGAAUAGUUGCAUGAACAAAUCAGCCCAGGUAAUAGUAAUUCCUAAUUAGGAUCAGGUGUUAAUAUAGAUGGACUCAUUCUAUACACAAAACAUGAAACUGGCAGGAAGCAACAUCAAGAUGCAACCAGGCCCUAACCAGCUGAGUUGCUUAAUGAAACUGGCCCUAAGGCAAGAUUGAUUUUAUAGUUGGAGCAUGGGACUCAUCAGGAGAUUGGGUUUUGGGAAGUUUUUUGGAUUGGGUUUUUUUCAUUUCAGAAAACUUAAUACUGUUAUGCACUAAAAAUCACCCCCAAAGGAAACCUUCAGAAGUUUGCCCUGGCAGUCUCUCUGAUCCACUGAGAAAGUAUUUAGGGUUAUGUACAAUAUAAGCCUACAGCAAAGAUUUAAUCUAAUUAGAUUCAUCACUGUGGUAUCUCCCCUAGGAUCGUUUCUCUGCACCAUGAUCUAUCCUAUUCCGACGUGUGUUUACAAGCCAUCAAAUCAAUGAUAGUGUAUUCAGUUUGGAACAUGAUGUUCUAACAGACUGUUUGAAGGCAGGUUUUUAAGAGUGAUGGAUUGACAGGGUGACGUUUGGUGGCACAUUGAAUUUUUUUUACAAUUUGUUAGCUAGGACUCUUGAUGUCUUGGGUAACAGUAGCAUUUUACCCCCUAGGUGACCAAUCUUACCAUAGCCCAUGUCAGUCAUGACCAAAAUUUCCUACUAACAGAUAGAUACCUGUAUUGGUCUAGGUGAAGUGAGUUUGAUGGGGUCUUUCUUCUGUUUUUCAAAGUGUGUUGGUCCAUAUCACACAAAACACUGCUACAUUUGGUGCCUUUGGUUGAAAAUCUCAGAAGGGAGUCAAAAAUCAGAAUCAGUCAGGAAGAUUGAACACCACCUCAACCUCUCCAAAACAGCGGUCCCUCCAGACCAGGCUGAGCCACAUUGAUGGGACAAUGGGGAAGCUUGCUCUGCUGUAACGUUUGGGAUUGGAUCAGUGACACUCAGACAGAGGCUUGCGAGCCGCAAGUGAUUCUUUAAUGUGUCUCCUGCAGCUCUUUGCAGCACAUGAUAGUACAACUCAGUGUGAUUUAAUUAACAACCAAUCAGGAUGCUUUUACUAUGUUACUAACUAGUUGUAGUUGAUGAAAUAAUACUU